rnacentral:lncRNA from 1 species
UACAGACAAGUAUUGUUGAAUCAGUUCAGUUUUUUUUAUUCAUGUUUUGGUACAUCUUUUGUUGCCAUUCGAAUCCUCAAUCUCUAAUUUGAAUUCUCAUACUUUUUCCAACCAAAUUAGCCACUUCUAGCCAUUGCUCUAGCCAACCCUAGCUCACGGUACAAACAGGUAUUGUUGAAUCGGUUCAGUUUUAUUGAUUCAUGUUUUGGCAGAUCUUUUGUGUCCAUUCGAAUCAUCAAUGUCUAAUUUGAAUUCUCAUACUUUU